rnacentral:RNase_P_RNA from 1 species
CGAGUCGGCCGGGUGAUCGCGGGUUCAUGCAAAAGAACCUGAGGAAAGUCCGGACUCCACAGGGCAAGGUGGUGGGUAACGCCCACCCAGGGUGACCUGCGGGAAAGUGCCACAGAGAAUAGACCGCCGCCGCUGUUCGGUUGACAGUAUCGGGUUACCCCCCGUCGCUGUAGGCCGAUAGUGGCGGUAAGGGUGAAACGGCGGUGUAAGAGACCACCAGCACAUUGGGAGACCAGUGUGGCUAGGUAAACCCCACUUGGAGCAAGACCAAGAAAGGCGUUCCAGUGUUCGCUGGAGUGCCUGCGGAGGUGUUUGAGGGUUGCCCGCCCAAGCCUCCGGGUAGGUCGCACGACUUUAGACGCGCAAGCGUCAACGGUCGAAGGACGACGGUAACGUGCGUUCGCAGAUGGAUGAUCACCGCCCGGGAGCAACUCAUUUGUGAGUUGCGAUUACCGGGUACAGAAUCCGGCUUACAGGCCGACUCGUCCC